rnacentral:rRNA from 1 species
UGAGGAAUAUUGGUCAAUGGGCGCAAGCCUGAACCAGCCAUCCCGCGUGAAGGAAGAAGGCGCUAUGCGUUGUAAACUUCUUUUCUAGGGGAAGAAAACUUCCUAUGUAUAGGGACUUGCCGGUACCCUGGGAAUAAGCAUCGGCUAACUCCGUGCCAGCAGCCGCGGUAAUACGGAGGAUGCGAGCGUUAUCCGGAUUCAUUGGGUUUAAAGGGUGCGUAGGCGGACUUAUAAGUCAGUGGUGAAAACCUGCAGCUUAACUGUAGACGUGCCAUUGAUACUGUUAGUCUUGAGUAUGGUCAAGGUAGGCGGAAUGUGUAAUGUAGCGGUGAAAUGCUUAGAUAUUACACAGAACACCGAUUGCGAAGGCAGCUUACUGGGCCAUUACUGACGCUGAUGC